UGUCGCGUCUGCUGUGAAAGCCCGGGGCUUAACUCCGGGUCUGCAGUGGGUACGGGCAGACUAGAGUGUGGUAGGGGAGACUGGAAUUCCUGGUGUAGCGGUGAAAUGCGCAGAUAUCAGGAGGAACACCGAUGGCGAAGGCAGGUCUCUGGGCCAUAACUGACGCUGAGAAGCGAAAGCAUGGGGAGCGAACAGGAUUAGAUACCCUGGUAGUCCAUGCCGUAAACGUUGGGCGCUAGGUGUGGGGCUCAUUCCACGAGUUCCGUGCCGUAGCUAACGCAUUAAGCGCCCCGCCUGGGGAGUACGGCCGCAAGGCUAAAACUCAAAGGAAUUGACGGGGGCCCGCACAAGCGGCGGAGCAUGCGGAUUAAUUCGAUGCAACGCGAAGAACCUUACCAAGGCUUGACAUACACCGGAUCGCUGCAGAGAUGUGGUUUCCUUUUGGGCUGGUGUACAGGUGGUGCAUGGUUGUCGUCAGCUCGUGUCGUGAGAUGUUGGGUUAAGUCCCGCAACGAGCGCAACCCUCGUUCNAUGUUGCCAGCACGUGAUGGUGGGGACUCAUGGGAGACUGCCGGGGUCAACUCGGAGGAAGGUGGGGAUGACGUCAAAUCAUCAUGCCCCUUAUGUCUUGGGCUUCACGCAUGCUACA
rnacentral:rRNA from 1 species